rnacentral:rRNA from 1 species
CCUACGGGGGGCAGCAGUAGGGAAUCUUCCACAAUGGACGAAAGCCUGAUGGAGCAACGCCGCGUGAGGGAAGAAGGGUUUCGGCUCGUUAAGCUCUGUUGGUAGUGAAGAAAGGUAGAGGUAGUAACUGGCCUUUAUUUGACGUUAAUUACUUAGAAAGGCAAGGCUAACUACGUGCCAGCAGCCGCGGUAAUACGUAGGUGGGAAGCGUUGGCCGGAUUUAUUGGGCGUAAAGCGAGUGCAGGCGGUUAGAUAAGUCAGAUGGGAAAGCCUUCGGCUCAACCGGAGAAUUGCAUCAGAAACUGGUGAACUUGAGUGCAGAAGAGGAGGGUGGAACUCCAGGUGUAGCGGUGGAAUGCGUAGAUAUAAGGAAGAACACCGGUGGCGAAGGCGGCUCUCUGGUCUGCAACUGACGCUGAGGCUCGAAAGCAUGGGUAGCGAACAGGAUUAGAUUCCCUUGUAGUC